CUCUUUAACACCUGCAGAACCUGUAGAUCCACUGCCGUUGACCAUCUCUUAGCCACUUUCCAGAUUUCAUAUUAAAGUUUGCUCCAAUCAGUGGGACCUUAGCUAUUGCUGGUAUUCCUAUAAAGCGGGCUAGUUUACAAGAAGUAGCAACCUUGUGAAGAAAGUUGGGUUAUACUUGGUUAAAAUGUCGCAUGCCUUGGGUUACUGGUGAUUUUGAGAGGAGAUACAUUUCAUUGCAAGCAUGGUUGUAUAUCUUCUUGAAGAAUUUGUUAUUAUUUGAUUUGCAUUUGAGAUGGUAGAUUUGAAUUUAAAUUAUGUAUAUAAUAUUGAACUUGGGUAUUGUUUUUCCUUAUUAGUAGUUAUUGAUUGAGCCAUUGUUAAGCUUA